CCUACGGGAGGCUGCAGUGAGGAAUAUUGGUCAAUGGACGAGAGUCUGAACCAGCCAAGUAGCGUGAAGGAUGACUGCCCUAUGGGUUGUAAACUUCUUUUAUAUAGGAAUAAAGCGAGGCACGUGUGCCUCUUUGCAUGUACCUUAUGAAUAAGGAUCGGCUAACUCCGUGCCAGCAGCCGCGGUAAUACGGAGGAUCCGAGCGUUAUCCGGAUUUAUUUGGUUUAAAGGGAGCGUAGGUGGGUUGUUAAGUCAGUUGUGAAAGUUUGCGGCUCAACCGUAAAAUUGCAGUUGAUACUGGCAGUCUUGAGUACAGUAGAGGUAGGCGGAAUUCGUGGUGUAGCGGUGAAAUGCUUAGAUAUCACGAAGAACCCCGAUUGCGAAGGCAGCUUGCUGGACUGUAACUGACGCUGAUGCUCGAAAGUGUGGGUAUCAAACAGGAUUAGAUACCCCAGUAGUC
rnacentral:rRNA from 1 species